rnacentral:rRNA from 1 species
UACAGAGGUCUCAAGCGUUGUUCGGAUUCAUUGGGCGUAAAGGGUGCGUAGGCGGCCAGAUAAGUCAGUGGUGAAAUCCUGUUGCUUAACAACAGAACUGCCAUUGAUACUGUUUGGCUUGAGUAUAGUUGCUGUGGGCGGAAUAUGACAUGUAGUGGUGAAAUACAUAGAGAUGUCAUAGAACACCGAUUGCGAAGGCAGCUCACAAAACUAUAACUGACGCUGAGGCACGAAAGUGCGGGGAGCAAACAGG